AGUGAGGAAGGUGGGUAUGUUAAUAGCAUACUCAUUUGACGUUAGCUGCAGAAGAAGCACCGGCUAACUCCGUGCCAGCAGCCGCGGUAAUACGGAGGGUGCGAGCGUUAAUCGGAAUUACUGGGCGUAAAGCGCAUGCAGGUGGUUUUGUUAAGUCAGAUGUGAAAGCCCGGGGCUCAACCUCGGAAUUGCAUUUGAAACUGGCAAACUAGAGUACUGUAGAGGGGGUAGAAUUUCAGGUGUAGCGGUGAAAUGCGUAGAGAUCUGAAGGAAUACCGGUGGCGAAGGCGGCCCCCUGGACAGAUACUGACACUCAGAUGCGAAAGCGUGGGGAGCAAACAGGAUUAGAUACCCUGGUAG
rnacentral:rRNA from 1 species